GCCAGUGUGGCAUAGUGGUUUGAGCACUGGACUAUGACUCUGGAGAUCAGGGUUUGAAUCCUGCUCACCCAUG